GGCUAGGCGCCUGAUGGCCGAGUGGCUAUGGCUCUGGCACUCGGUAUGGAUGUUUGUAGUGGUUCGAAUCCACUUUAAGCCG